rnacentral:rRNA from 1 species
GAUGAACGCUAGCGGCAGGCAUAAUACAUGCAAGUUGAACGGGAUUCAGAUAGCAAUAUUUGAUGAGAGUGGCGCACGGGUGCGUAGCACGUAUGCAACUUACCUUAAACUGGGAGAUAGCCCGUGGAAACAUGGAUUAAUAUCCCAUAGUAUAAAGAACAGGCAUUUGUUUUUUAUUAAAGCUCCGGCGGUUUAAGAUGGGCAUGCGCGUCAUUAGCUAGAUGGAGAGGUAACGGCUCACCAUGGCAACGAUGACUAGGGGGUCUGAGAGGAUGUCCCCCCACACUGGUACUGAGACCCGGACCAGACUCCUACGGGAGGCAGCAGUAGGGAAUAUUGGGCAAUGGACGCAAGUCUGACCCAGCCAUGCCGCGUGCAGGAAGACGGCCCUCUGGGUUGUAAACUGCUUUUAUCAGGGAAGAAACCCUUCUACGUGUAGGAGGCUGACGGUACCUGAGGAAUAAGGAUCGGCUAACUCCGUGCCAGCACG